UUUAGGCUUUCAACGGGGAAAAAAUCGGACUAGAAAAAAAAGGUCAAAGUAUAUCUAUUUCGUAUUUAUCCGAUUCUCUUUUCAUUCCGGAGCAGAAAGUUUCUACUCCAAAUCGAUGGCAAUCGAUAUACUGCCUACGUAUAUGGACUUGUAUCUCUUAUCAAAUGAAUCCUAUGGCGAUCUACCAAAAAAAGAAAAUUCAUUCCAUCCGACGUCGUUUUUUAUUAAAUCUACCAGAGUGGACUCUUAUCGAUUCGGCAUUCUCAGGUUGACCCGAUGGGAGACGGAUUAAAAGUCCUGCACGGGCUUCGUUACGAAUUCCGGCUGUCCUUAUUCUAUACGCAUUUGUUGGCCGAAUAAGACAUCGUGGACAUCGUUCGAAAAGUAC